rnacentral:lncRNA from 1 species
GUGGAACAAGAAGCAGAUAAUAUUUUAAAGGAUGCUGAUAUCAGUGAUGUUGCAUUCCUUGUGGUUGGUGAUCCAUUUGGACACUUGGAGACCAGAAAGCUUCUUUGACAAAGUGAAGAAGAACAGACAAAAUGGCAUGCACACAUUAUGUUUACUAGACAUCAAAGUAAAGGAGCAGUCUUUGGAAAAUCUAAUCAACAGUUACCGAGGAGACACUUUGUGUUGGCUUAGCCAGGGUUGGAGCCGACGACCAGAAAAUUGCAGCAGGCACUUUAAGGCAAAUGUGCACUGUGGACUUGGGAGAACCAUUGCAUUCCUUGAUCAUCACAGGAGGCAGCAUACAUCCAAUGGAGAUGGAGAUGCUAAGUCUGUUUUCCAUACCAGAAAAUAGCUCAGAAUCUCAAAGCAUCAAUGGACUUUGAACAUAGAUAUUUACCAUUGUCUGAUGUAAAUUUCAGCCAUAUAUGGAUUGAUAUGGUUUGGAUGUAUCCCCACCCAAGUCUCAUCUUGAAUUUUAAUCCUCAUAAUUCCCAGGUGUUGUGGUAGGUAAUUGAAUCAUGGGGGCAGUUUCCCUCAUGCUAUUCUCAUGAUAGUGAGCUUUCAUGAGAUCUGAUGGUUUUAUAAGUGCCUGGCAUUUCCCCUACUGGCUCUCAUUCUCACUCUUGCCGCCCUGUGAAGAGGUGCCUUCCACCGUGAUUGUUAAGUUUCCUGAGGCCUUCCCAGCCAUGUGGAACUGUGAGUCGAAAAUUAAACCUCUUUUAUAAUUA